CCGCCCUGCCCCCUGGGGACGGGGCUGGAGCCUCCCCGCUCGGAGGAAAGCACCGCCGGGUUGCUGUGCAGACAGACGCCUAGUAACGCGCACGGGCCUCUGUUUGGUUCCAGCAGAAACGAAAGCCCGGAAGCCCGAGUCUGAAGGCAGAGAGCGCUGAGAAGACACACAGGCACUUGAGUGGCGUGGGGAGGAGAAUGGGUGCAAUUUAGGGGCAACUCAGGAUGGAGAGGCGCACUGGGGCUGGGGUGGGCUGACUUCUGUUACAGGAGUGAGCGGAGUGUCUUCUGCUCUCCUGGAACUGGCUGCGCGCGGGAGGUGGGUGCAUCCUGGCUGAGCAUCAGGGACAUUCAGGGCAGCUCCCUACUCUGACCUGGGACUCCAACCUGAGGGAGCAGGGGAUCCUUCCCACAGAGGCGCUGGGCUAGGAGUGUCCCUCUCUAGGAGCAGGUCCAUAGUGAUCGGAAAGGUGCCAAGGAAGAUGAUCUAUAGUGAGAAAUGCCCUGGGUCCUACUUUGCUCAAUUCCCUCCAUUUUACUGGCAGCUCUGGUACAGGUUGCAGGGCCUCUUCUGGGCAGAGAAAAACAUGCUUAAGGCUUUUCUCCAACUGAUUUUUUUUUUAAAGUCAUCUCUC